GACUCUCGGCACGGGAUAUCUCGGCUCUCGCAUCGAUGAAGAACGUAGCGAAAUGCGAUACCUGGUGUGAAUUGCAGAAUCCCGCGAACCAUCGAGUCUUUGAACGCAAGUUGCGCCCGAGGCCACUCGGCCG
rnacentral:rRNA from 1 species